CAGAAUAAGUUCAGCAUUAUCCUAGACACGAUUGAUAUCCCAGCACCCAAAGGAAAAUAUUAUUAACAGGAACGUGCCAACGGGACCCGAAGUGGAGAUUCAGGAAAAGAAACACACUAGGCAAGCUUGGUGAUAUUUAAUUGUCCUACGCCGCAUGUCGAAGAAAAAGGAAGAGAGAAAAUACUUUUCAAGGGUAAUAAAGAAGAUUCUUACAAUUUCUCUAUAGUGGUUCUAGAUGUUAAUAUAUAUUAGGUUUAAUAAUAAGAAGUCGAAUAUUGCAAGAAUAUAUAAGGCAAAGCAAUAUACUAUUAAUUUAAAUA